rnacentral:rRNA from 1 species
UACGGGGGGAGCAAGCGUUGUUCGGAUUUACUGGGCGUAAAGGGCGCGUAGGCGGCCACCGCAAGUCGACUGUGAAAUCUCCGGGCUUAACCCGAAAGGUCAGCCGAUACUGCGGGGCUAGAGUGCAGAAGGGGCAACUGGAAUUCUCGGUGUAGCGGUGAAAUGCGUAGAUAUCGAGAGGAACACCUGCGGCGAAGGCGGGUUGCUGGGCUGACACUGACGCUGAUGCGCGAAAGCUAGGGGAGCGAACGGG